UGCAAGUCGAGGGGUAUAGUAGCAAUACUAGAGACCGGCGCACGGGUGCGUAGCGCGUAUGCAAUCUACCUUAUACAGAGGGAUAGCCCAGAGAAAUUUGGAUUAAUACCUCAUAGCAUAGCAACUUCGCAUGAAGUCACUAUUAAAGUUCCAACGGUAUAAGAUGAGCAUGCGUCCUAUUAGCUAGAUGGUAAGGUAACGGCUUACCAUGGCUACGAUAGGUAGGGGUCCUGAGAGGGAGAUCCCCCACACUGGUACUGAGACACGGACCAGACUCCUACGGGAGGCAGCAGUGAGGAAUAUUGGACAAUGGGCGCAAGCCUGAUCCAGCCAUGCCGCGUGCAGGAAGACGCAUCUAUGGUGUGUAAACUGCUUUUGUACGGGAAGAAACACUCCCUCGUGAGGGAGCUUGACGGUACCGUAAGAAUAAGGAUCGGCUAACUCCGUGCCAGCAGCCGCGGUAAUACGGAGGAUCCAAGCGUUAUCCGGAAUCAUUGGGUUUAAAGGGUCCGUAGGCGGUUUGGUAAGUCAGUGGUGAAAGCCCAUCGCUUAACGAUGGAACGGCCAUUGAUACUGCCAGACUUGAAUUACUGGGAAGUAACUAGAAUAUGUAGUGUAGCGGUGAAAUGCU
rnacentral:rRNA from 1 species